rnacentral:lncRNA from 1 species
AAUAGAAAAAAAAGAGAGCACAAUCAAAUAAAGGAGCCAUCUAGCCAUCAUACUCAUACCACCUUUCCACAUAUAUAUCUUGAUCUCGAGUAUGACACUACUCUUCCUCCAAGGAUCCGAGGUUUGACUUCACAACAUAUGCAAUGUAAGUACGCCAUCCCCUUGUUCCUACCUUGAGAUCCACAUAAGCAUUUAUUGCAGUAGAAUUACAUAGAGAAGGCAACAUACUCAUAUGCCUC